GAUCCUGGCUCAGGAUGGACGCUAGCGGCAGGCUUAACACAUGCAAGUCGAGGGGCAGCGGGGAGUAGCAAUACUCCGCCGGCGACCGGCGCACGGGUGCGUAACGCGUAUGCAACCUACCUUUAACAGGGGCAUAACACUGAGAAAUUGGUACUAAUUCCCCAUAACAUUCGAGAAGGCAUCUUCUUGGGUUAAAAACUCCGGUGGUUAAAGAUGGGCAUGCGUUGUAUUAGCUAGUUGGUGAGGUGACGG
rnacentral:rRNA from 1 species